UACGUAGGGGCGAGCGUUGUCCGGAUUUAUUGGGCGUAAAGAGCUCGUAGGCGGUUUGGCAAGUCGGGUGUGAAAACUCCGGCUCAACUCGGAGACGCCACUCGAUACUGCCAUGACUCGAGUCCGGUAGGGGAGUGCGGAAUUCCUGGUGUAGCGGUGAAAUGCGCAGAUAUCAGGAGGAACACCGGUGGCGAAGGCGGCACUCUGGGCCGGUACUGACGCUGAGGAGCGAAAGCGUGGGGAGCGAACAGG
rnacentral:rRNA from 1 species